UUAAGAGUAGCUAUUCUGCGUUAAGUGUUAUACCAUGGGAUGUCGGGUAUAAACGAACACAAAACGUGGCGGUAGAAUAGCGCGUCCGCUAAU
rnacentral:ncRNA from 2 species